AACGCUGGCGGCAUGCCUAACACAUGCAAGUCGAACGGCAGCACAGCAGUAGCAAUACUGUGGGUGGCGAGUGGCGGACGGGUGAGGAAUACGUCGGAAUCUGCCCAGUCGUGGGGGAUAACUAGCCGAAAGGUUAGCUAAUACCGCAUACGACCGAGAGGUGAAAGCGGGGGACCGCAAGGCCUCGCGCGAUUGGAUGAGCCGACGUCGGAUUAGCUAGUUGGCGGGGUAAAGGCCCACCAAGGCGACGAUCCGUAGCUGGUCUGAGAGGAUGAUCAGCCACACUGGAACUGAGACACGGUCCAGACUCCUACGGGAGGCAGCAGUGGGGAAUAUUGGACAAUGGGCGCAAGCCUGAUCCAGCAAUGCCGCGUGUGUGAAGAAGGCCUUCGGGUUGUAAAGCACCUUUAUCAGGAACGAAAAGCGUUGGAUUAAUACUCUGACGUGCUGACGGUACCUGAGGAAUAAGCACCGGCUAACUUCGUG
rnacentral:rRNA from 1 species